rnacentral:lncRNA from 1 species
AAAAAAAAAAGGUUUCGACAAGUCCAAUUCAAGUUUUUAUGAUUUUUUAAAUAUUUAUAAGUUUAUAUCAAUUUUAAUAUUUUUUUUAUUAUUUUUAAGAAUUCUAAUAUAUUUUUUUAAUUUUAAAUAUGUUUUAUUAAUUUUAUAAAUUUUUUUGUAAUUUAUUUCAAUUUAUUAGAUUUUUAUAUUUUUAUAAUUUUUGCAAGUUUUUAUAAUUUUAUUGCAAUAUUAAUAUUUGUAAUACUUUUAGUUUUUAUAAUAUCUUUUAAUUUUUCCUGAUUUUUAAUUAUUUUUAUGGGAAAUUAUUAGGUUAAACCUGAAGUUGCUAUUUUUCACCAUUUGAUUCGUCCGCCAAUUUAUUUGAACAGUCAACACCAUUGAUGACAAAAAUUGUUAAUGGAUGGUUUAAUUAAUUAUUUUAGUUAACAAUAUGGGCUUAAUUGGGUGUGAAUUUAAUAUAGGAGCUUAAUUGAUUUUUAUUUUUAUUUUGCAUUAUUAAAGGAUUUUUUUACACAUAAGCCUAAUAAAAAAAAUAUAUUUUCUUCUCAUCAAGAAUAUUUUCUUCUCAUCAAGAAUUAACGUGGACAAAUAGUUGUUCGGAUACAUAUGAAUCUAAACACUCAUUUAUCUAGAUUCAUUCUAGAUGUAUUUUUAGUAAAUUUAUAUGUUUUUUUAUAAAAUGUUAAUUUUUUUAUAUUAUUAUUUUGAAAUAAAAAAUAUAUAAAAUUUUAAAAUCAUAAGAUAUAUAAAUUAAUAAAAACAUAAAGUUUUUUACGUUAAGAAUGAAACCUAAAUACAAGGUUAUUUAGAUACAAAUGUAUUUGGACAACCAUAUGUCCUUUCAUUGUAGAGAGUUUUUUUAGUUCUUUUAUAUGUUUAUGUAUUUUUAUAAAUUUAUAGUUUUUAUUAAUUUAUAUAUUAUAUAUUAUAAAUUUGGGAAAUUAUUUGAUACAUUGUCAGUGGAGUUUUUAAAUUCCACAAGCAGGAUCAGGAGUUGAUAAGUGUUUUAUAGAGGUAUAGUAAAAUAUUAAAAAAAAUAAGUAUUUUUUGAUGAAUUACAAUAGAAGAGUAAAGUCCUAACAGCAACGCGACUAUCGUAACUCAAACCUAAGUCACAUCUGGGGCAGUGAACAUCCUAAAAAUAAACAUUUAAAAGAAGAAAUAUAUGUCAAGUUUUUAAGGCUAUUUGUGGAAUAAAAAAGUACAUUGUUAGUGUAUUAAAUACUCACCCUAUAAAUUUUUAUAUAUAUUUCUAAUGGAAAAAUAUUUGGUACACUACUAGUGGAGUUUUUAAACUCCACAAAUAGGACUAGGAGGUUGACAAGUGUCCAAUAAUGUAUAGUAAAAUAUUAAAAAAUAAAUGUUUUAAAAAAAGAAACACAUGGCGAUUUUUUAAGGUUGUUUAUGGAAUAAAAAAACACACUGCUAAUGUAUCAAAUACUAACCCAUUUUUAUUUGCAUAUGUAUAUAUUUAUGGAUUUAUGUUUUAUAUAUUUUAAAAUAAUAAUAACCAAAAAAUUAAUAUUUAUAAAAAAUUGAAAAUAAGUAAACUUAUUAAAAAAGAGAAUGGAUCUGGACAGCUAUUUGUCUAAAUCCAUUUGUCCAAAUUGUAACCUCCCUAAUCCGGCCUAAACGUUAGACCCGAAUUCAGGAGAUUACAUUGACCACCAAAAUGGCCUAGUAGCGAUCGAGGUUUAUAAAACAGUCAAUUUAAAAUUUUAUUUAUUUUAGAAGAAAACUUAAUUUAUUUUCAGAAAAAUCCAUGAGUUAAAAAAGACAAUUAGUUUAACAUCUUUCUUGUAAAGAAUGAUUAUCAUUGAAAAAAAAAAGUGAUUUUUAACUUAGUUUUAAUAAAAUCUAUAUUUCAUGCAUAUUUGAUUAUAAUCUAUAAUUCAACAUUUUUUUUAAAAAAAAAAAUUAAAAGAUAUGCAUGCUAAUUAAAACAAACCUAAGUCCCAAACUACGAUUCAAAAUAAAACGAUAUAGUCUUGGAAUAAUAAAAAUAUCAAAUAGUAAUUUUAAAUUUUUCUUAUGAUAGAACGGUCAAUCCGAGUUGAAUCCUCUGUAUGCAAAGUCCACAUCCUAACCUAGUGGAUUAUUUGUAAAUAUAGAAAUAAAAAGGGAGUGAGCUAUAAAGCUCAGUGUGAGUUUCAUCACAAUAAAAUCAGUGCAAACAGUAGACAAAACAUAUAGAAUAUUAACUGAAAGGAUAAACACAAAUUGAAUAGCAACUCGAAAUUUCGGUGUUUUAGGUUAACUCAUUAUCAUAAUUUCUCGAUAUUCACUGCCAUGAAAAUGUUUAUAAAUGCAAUGCAAUUUUAAUUUAUCAGAAAAUGGUCCUACCUCACAGCUAUACACCACAGUAGGAGUUCUCUAGAACUCCUCUACCUUUACACCACAUUGUGGAUAACACCACAUGAACCACUCAUUGUAGAUAAACCACUAGUAAAAAGGGUGGAUGAACCAUCGGAUUUUUUGAUAAAAAGUUUUUGCAGAUAAGUUGCCAGAAGGUUGUGGAUGCAUAACAUGUUUGCAGAUUGAAGCUGCUAAUACGGUGUGUAUAAACCACUCAAUAGUGCAGAUAAACCACUCAACUUUCUCCGUUCGCAUCGUCCCACCCCUUACAAUGCAAUAUGGCAAGCUCAAACAGAAACUCCUUUCGUAAUUCUAUACAUAAUGUAAGUACCCAAAUUUACCUGGACCCAAACCAUUAACCAGCCCAAACAAAAACAUAAAAACAAAAACCAAAUAACAAAUAGUCCAAGUCCAAAUCUAAGCCCCAAAAAAUACAAAGCCCGACAGGCUCAAAAUGUUUAAAAUUUUCAAAAACCCUAGGGUUUCUAUCCAACCCCAGCGCCGCAGCCUUGGUUGCCCCGCACUCCACGUGCCUCCGUCAGCGUACCCUUUGCCCGAUGGUUCCUUCCUUGCACCGAAAUGACAAGGUUUUCCCUCGUUGACCUUUGCCCCAACCUGCAAACAUGGCAAAGAAAGCAGCAAACAAGAAGAAAGCAGAGAAGCGAAACAAUAACAAUAAAAAUAAUGUAUUUUGUUUGGCUAUAAAAGCCAUCACCGAAUGAAUGUAAAAAAAAAGGGAUUUAAAAAAAAAGGUUGUAUUACACAUAUCAGGAAUCAAAACGUAGAAUAGAUUUUUGAAAAGGUUGUUAUUUUAAUCUUUUUUUAUUUCUUUUAUUUUCUUGUUUUUAUUUUAUUUCAUUUUUUACAAAUUUAUUUAAAAAAAAAAAGAGGGGCUCACCUGAAUCUCGCGGCCGCGAUGUCGGGGACUCUUCUCUGUCGCCGAUAUCGGACCUAAAAGGGGUGUUGAGAGUCUCCUCCCUUCGAUUCUUAGGGCUUCGGUGGUUUAGCCUUCAAGGGCACUUAAGAGUAGGACUGAAAGAGCCCGUUAUUGUGUGGUUCCGGCCACCGCUCAUGGCGAAGGCACGAUGAACCACUGGCGAGCCAAGGGUCAGCCAAGAGUGGGGGGGUUGAGAGUAUUUUGAGAGUAUUUGAGGGUUUUGGAGAUUUUUUUUAAAA